UUCAAUACUGCCGGGGCUU
rnacentral:tRNA from 1 species